CUCAACUUUCUCUAAAGAAAAUUAUGUUUCUUCUCUACCUUUCCAGGGUAGAAUUGAGCUUACUUCCUGUGUAUCUCCGUUGGGAGGCGAGGAGGGCGGAGGCUUUUGAAAACAACACAAAGCUCUCAGAAAGUGAUUUCCGAGGUGUAGAACAGCUGCCCUAAGAGAAAACCAGAUUAUGAUGUGCUGUGUACACAAGUGAGUUCUGAGCCACAUACCUGGGAAGAAGGGAAUAGAUAGCCUGACCAGAAAGAGUGUGCACCGUACAGAUUUGGAUGCCCCAGAUGCGCUUACACCAGCAAACAGCUGCGGGUUAUUCUCCAAAAGCAGACCAACUCUGCUUUACAGGCUCUUCUGUCAAGGCUGUGAACAGAGCCAUGAAAGUCAGCCCGUGCUCCUCUGUGACCCCCCGAGAGAGAGGAAGGUCAUUGGAGGAAGAGACACCUGAAAUGGGGACCCUGCAAGAGUCCAAGAGGGCAAAGACGAGUUAGCCGGGAAGCGGGACAAACUCUCACACGGAGGUAAAUGUCUGA
rnacentral:lncRNA from 1 species